rnacentral:snoRNA from 1 species
GUUGAGGUCUAUACAGUGGGGCUUUUCCUGUAGGUCCACAGUAAAUGCCUCAGAGAGUAGCUAUUUGUUUGAUCUGUGGGAAGGAACUGUAAGACAGAG